rnacentral:rRNA from 1 species
GUGGGGAAUUUUGGACAAUGGGCGAAAGCCUGAUCCAGCAAUGCCGCGUGUGUGAAGAAGGCCUUUUGGUUGUAAAGUACUUUAAGCGAGGAGGAGGCUACCGAGAUUAAUACUCUUGGAUAGUGGACGUUACUCGCAGAAUAAGCACCGGCUAACUCUGUGUCAGCAGCCGCGGUAAUACAGAGGGUGCAAGCGUUAAUCGGAUUUACUGGGCGUAAAGCGCGCGUAGGUGGUUUUGUAAGUUGGAGGUGAAAUCCCCGGGCUCAACCUGGGAACUGCCUCCAAAACUGCAUGACUAGAGUACGGUAGAGGGUAGUGGAAUUUCCUGUGUAGCGGUGAAAUGCGUAGAUAUAGGAAGGAACACCAGUGGCGAAGGCGACUACCUGGACUGAUACUGACACUGAGGUGCGAAAGCGUGGGGAGCAAACAGGAUUAGAAACCCUAGUAGUCC